GUGAGAAAGGUGAGGAGUGUGUGAGACAGGUGAGGAGUGUGUGAGACAGGUGAGGUGUGUGUGAGACAGGUGAGGUGUGUGAGAGACAGGUGAGGUGUGUGUGAGACAGGUACAGGGUGAGACAGGUGAGGUGUGUGUGAGACAGGUGAGGUGUGUGUGAGACAGGUACAGGGUGAGACAGGUGAGGUGUGUGUGAGACAGGUGCAGGGUGAGACAGGUGAGGUGUGUGUGAGACCGGUACAGGGUGCGACAGGUGAGGAGUGUGUGAGACAGGUGAGGUGUGUGUGAGACAGGUGAGGUGUGUGUGAGACAGGUACAGGGUGAGACAGGUGAGGUGUGUGUGAGACAGGUGAGGAGUGUGUGAGACAGGUACAGGGUGAGACAGGUGAGGAGUGUGUGAGACAGGUGAGGUGUGUGAGACAGGUACAGGGUGAUACAGGUGAGGAGUGUGUGAGACAGGUACAGGGUGAGACAGGUGAGGAGUGUGUGAGACAGGUGAGAAGUGUGUGAGACAGGUGAGGAGUGUGUGAGACAGGUGAGGAGUGUGUGAGACGGGUGAGGAGUGUGUGAGACGGGUGAGAAGUGUGUGAGACAGGUGAGGGGUGUGUGAGACAGGUGAGGAGUGUGAGACAGGUGAGGAGUGUGAGACAGGUGAGGAGUGUGUGAGACAGGUGAGGAGUGUGUGAGACAGGUGAGGAGUGUGAGACAGGUGAGGAGUGUGUGAGACAGGUGAGCUGAUGUAAAUCUGCAGUGGUGUGUAAGGUGUGAAAUGGGUCAGGGAUAAAAGAACACGAGUUGUGAGGUCUUUAAUUCUCCAUGUCUUCCUGUCUGUCUCUCUUUCUGUCUGUGAUGUGAGUGUGUGUGUGUGUACGCGUGUGUGUGCGCGCGUGUGUGUGUACGUGUAUGUACGCAUGUGUGUGCACGUGUGUGUGUGUACGCGAGUGUGUGUGCGUGUGUGUGUGUGU
ensembl:lncRNA